rnacentral:rRNA from 1 species
AAUGACCCCAGAUCAGACGGGGCCACCCGCUGAGUUUAAGCAUAUCAUAGGGGAAAGAAA